UGAGGGUGGUGGAGUUGGCCUACUCCAGCCCUCCCAAGUAUUUUGGGGAAGCAGGGAUGGCUGUUUUGCAGACAAGCACAGCUGGGAGGAACUGAGCUGUGCUGUCAGGGCCUCCUUUGCUGAAGCCAUUCCAGGAAUUAAACACACCUUGUGGUACCCUCACCCCUCUAACCUCCCACUGCCACCUCUCAGGGUGACACCUUCUCCCUUGCCAUUCCUCCACAGCCCUUUCCUGCUCUCUCCCGUGGUCAUUCAUUUCCCCCUGCACCUCAUGGAAAUGAUCCCUUUUCAUUAAGCCCAGCUGAUGGUCUGGUCUUGACCACCCCUCCAUCAGCUGCCCAGAGGAGAUGCCAUCCUGAGAAGGGGUUGGACAUGGCCUGGGCAGAAGGCCAUGGAGGAGCCCUCGGAGCAAGGCAGGUGUGGUGACACACUCGAGGAGACAUGUUGGGAACUCUGGGACACAAAGGUAUCAUGCAGUGGUCAUCUUGUGGAGAAACCCGUUCUGUGUCCCAGGUAUGCUGGCUGUCUCCUCAGUGCUGGAUGCCCCCUGGCCAGGGGCACCCAGGCUUCACUGCCUUGGGCAGGUCCCAGCAGCUCCCUGGCAGGGCAGGAUGGUGGCUCCAGGAGAAAAGGUUCCUCCUGCACCUCACCCCCAGGGCCCCACCCUGGGCUGGGGGAUGCAGGGGCUUGGUCCGUGUGUUUGUGGCUCCUGGGUACCAAACCUUGGUGGGGUUUGGAGGCUACUGGGAAAACGCUGCUCCUGAUCCAGCAGUGUCUUUGGCAGUGCCCGUGGUCAUUGGUGCAACUCAGUCACUGGUGCUUCAUCCACCCCACAGGCUCUGCCUUCCUCCUGCCACAACACCUCCUGCCACAACACCGGCUCUCCAUCCCCUCCUGUCCCGAGGCACGGGCUCCCCUCGAGCUCUGCCUCACCCCGUGCUUGCCUUCCCAUGGCACCUGGGGGUUUAAAGAAGUCAUUUUCCCUUUUCUCCUUUCUCUGUGCAGCCUCUCCGUGAGCCCACGCACCAGCUGGGCCCCCCACCAUGCUACUCCCACCAGCCCUGCUGUGCUGCCUGAUGCCUUCCUGCCUUCACCUGGUGAGGCCGGGCCCUGCACGGGAAGGCAGCGAGAGCAAAAGAGGGAAGGACUUUCAUCUCCCCGUGUCAAGCUGUGCAGCCAGGAAGACCAAAGGCAGAGGAUGUGAGCAGUGGUCAUCCCUGAAGGGCCAGGGUGCAGAGCAGCAUCUUCUGGUUUUAAUUAAAAACCAUCCGCUGGCACAGUUUGAUGGCGUGAGCGGUGCCUGGGCCAGGACAAGACCAGCAGGGAACGUCUCAGGGGAGGACCGGCACCGGGGCCGGGGCUGCCCACGGCACUGACAGAGCCUCCUGCCCCGCGUCCGAGCUCCGCCCCACGCCUGGCUUCGGUCCUGUCGCUCUUCCCUCCUCCCUCCUGCCUCCUUCCCUCUCCCCGGGGACCCCAGUGCCACUCUCUGCCAUCACUUGGUCACGCCAUCGAUGGCCAUGACCCCUUAGAGCUCUU
rnacentral:lncRNA from 1 species